UGUUGUUCAAGCUCUAAAAAGGGGGGAUCUCUGACUUCUUCAAAAUGCCCUGGAGGAGCAUGAAGACCGGUACAUUUCAUAUCUGCUUGCAUGAUUAACUAAUGCAAUAUAAUUAGUGGAGUAAAAGCCAACUGCCAAGUUUUUCAUUUUUCUUCUAGUUUUCUUAGGUCAGGCGUAUAUCUUGUUUUGGAGAAGCUAGAGCUCCACGACUAUCAAGGAUUGCUAAAAAAAAAAAAAAGGUAAGUUCCUUGCCAAGUGAUCUUGAGGUAUUAAUAUGAAUGCUUAUGCUUGUUCUUCAGAGUGUGUUCUAAUGGUCGUAAAAUGAGCAUAUUGCAGUUACAUCAUUCAAAGGCAGAAGGGCCCAAGCAAAGCUCGCCAGAUAAAGUUGGCAAUAAUUAUUAAAACAUUAAAGUGGCUUGAGAUGGACAUG
rnacentral:misc_RNA from 1 species